rnacentral:rRNA from 1 species
AACCUACGGGACGCAGCAGUGAGGAAUAUUGGUCAAUGGGCUUACGCCUGAACCAGCCAAGUCGCGUGAGGGAAGACUGCCCUAUGGGUUGUAAACCUCUUUUGUCAGGGAGCAACGCCGGCUACGUGUAGCCGGACUGAGAGUACCUGAAGAAAAAGCAUCGGCUAACUACGUGCCAGCAGCCGCGGUAAUACGUAGGGGGCAAGCGUUAUCCGGAUUUACUGGGUGUAAAGGGGGCGCAGACGGCGAUGCAAGCCAGGAGUG